GACAGAGGGUGCAAACGUUGUUCGGAUUUACUGGGCGUAAAGCGCUCGCAGGUGGUUCGUCGCGUCGUGCGUGAAAGACCCCGGCUCAACUGGGGAGUGUCACGCGAUACUGUUCGACUUGAAGGCAGGAGAAGGAAGUGGAAUUCCCGGUGUAGUGGUGAAAUGCGUAGAUAUCGGGAGGAACACCAGUGGCGAAGGCGACUUCCUGGCCUGUUCUUGACGCUGAGGCGCGAAAGCUAGGGUAGCAAACGGG
rnacentral:rRNA from 1 species